ACGACCUUACUUGAACAGGAUCUGUUCUAUAGGCCCAUAUUUGAUGGAUUAAUGGAUUAAUUGUGACCGUAAGAUCAAAGCGUGAUUAAUGGCUAAAUAGUCCCCAGAUGAUUAGAACUGUAGAGGAGUGUUUUCAGCUAGUCUGCUGGCUGAGUUGGUUUCACGGUUGUCUGACAUAUA